GCGAGAGAGAUGCAGAACUACUUUCUG
rnacentral:sRNA from 1 species